rnacentral:rRNA from 1 species
CGAGACUCAGUGAAAUUGAACUCGCUGUGAAGAUGCAGUGUACCCGCGGCAAGACGGAAAGACCCCGUGAACCUUUACUAUAGCUUGACACUGAACAUUGAGCCUUGAUGUGUAGGAUAGGUGGGAGCUUUGAAGUGUGGACGCCAGUCUGCAUGGAGCCAACCUUGAAAUACCACCCUUUAAUGUUUGAUGUUCUAACGUUGCCCCGUGAUCCGGGGUGCGGACAGUGUCUGGUGGGUAGUUUGACUGGGGCGGUCUCCUCCCAAAGAGUAACGGAGGAGCACGAAGGUUGGCUAAGCAUGGUCGGACAUCAUGCGGUUAGUGCAAAGGCAUAAGCCAGC